rnacentral:lncRNA from 1 species
GAGGAGGGAGUAGAAAUGAUGGGGAGGAGGCGUUCAUUGAUUUCUGCAGCUGCAGCUGCCUGUGGAGCUUCAGUGCUUGGGUUUGCAGGCCAUGGCCUGGCCGCCACUCAGGGCCUGCUGGCAGGGAGGAUCCCAGGCUUAUCAGAACCUGAUGAGAAUGGUAAAUUCUUCUCUUUUAUUCAUUUGUGAUUGAACUUGGUUGAUUUAUUUUGGGUCUAUAUGAGUACUUCAGAUUUUAGAGUUUGAGACAAACAAAUGCUCUGAAAGUGCUUCAUCUAAAUGCGCCAGUGUGUGAUUCUUCCUCUGGAGAAACCAAACUACAAUAGAAGUUCAGACAGAAAUACUGUUAAAAUGUUUUCAUGAUGCUGAUUGUUCAGACAGGCUGGAGAACAUACCGUAGGCCAGAUGACAAGUCCGGCGGCCAUGGAGUCGGCUGGAGCCCCAUCAUCCCCUACAGCUUCAAAGUUCCUGAGGGCUG